GGUACGCGAGCUGGGUUCAGAACGUCGUGAGACAGUUCGGUCCCUAUCUGCCGUGGGCGUUAGAAAUUUGAGGGUGAGUUGCUCCUAGUACGAGAGGACCGGAGUGAACGUACCUCUGGUGUUCCGGUUGUCACGCCAGUGGCAUCGCCGGGUAGCUAUGUACGGACGGGAUAACCGCUGAAUGCAUCUAAGCGGGAAGCCCCCCCCAAGAUAAGAUUUCUCUGGAGACUUGAUCUCCCUAAAGGGCCGUCGAAGACUACGACGUUGAUAGGCUGGGUGUGGAAGCGCUGCAAGGCGUGUAGCUAACCAGUACUAAUUGCCCGUGAGGCUUGACCAUAUAACACUCAAGCA
rnacentral:rRNA from 1 species